rnacentral:rRNA from 1 species
CCUACGGGUGGCAGCAGUCGAGAAUCAUUCACAAUGGGGGAAACCCUGAUGGUGCGACGCCGCGUGGGGGAAUGAAGGUCUUCGGAUUGUAAACCCCUGUCAUGUGGGAGCAAAUUAAAAAGAUAGUACCACAAGAGGAAGAGACGGCUAACUCUGUGCCAGCAGCCGCGGUAAUACAGAGGUCUCAAGCGUUGUUCGGAAUCACUGGGCGUAAAGCGUGCGUAGGCUGUUUCGUAAGUCGUGUGUGAAAGGCGGGGGCUCAACCCGCGGACGGCACAUGAUACUGCGAGACUAGAGUAAUGGAGGGGGAACCGGAAUUCUCGGUGUAGCAGUGAAAUGCGUAGAUAUCGAGAGGAACACUCGUGGCGAAGGCGGGUUCCUGGACAUUAACUGACGCUGAGGCACGAAGGCCAGGGGGGCGAAAGGGAUUAGAUACCCUUGUAGUC